GUGAGAUAAGUCGCGGCCGCGAGUAGGGUGGGUGUAGUAGGAGUGGUGGCGCGAGCUUUGGCACUGAGGAGCGUCAUCAAUGCGCGUGGUGGGGGUGGGCUGAUGUUUGGAUUUGGUGAUCUUAAUGAGCUUUUCCAACCUGAAUGAUGCUAUGACCGAGCCGCCACGUGGUCACCAGUUUUACUUCAGGUAUUUAAGCAGGCAGCAGUUAUUAAACGUCACGUUAGCGUGGAGAAGGAGCUUUCUGCUUUACGUAAAGUGGGUGAACUGGUUUUUCAGUUUACGCUGCGUGAUGGGCCUUUCUAGAGCUUCCAGAGAGGCAGAACUGUGUUGGAAGAGCAAAGGCUCAGUACCUGCCCCACUUCAGAUCUUCUACGUGACCAGCUGGAAAUUUCAUGAAUCACAGGUGAGACCUGCACAGAGAGCUUCUGCAACAGUUUCAUUUGGACAAGAGGAGCAAAAUAGUCCUUCAUCAGUACUAAAAGCUAUCUUGAAGCUCUUAUUAAACUGCCAGUGCAGAUAGUCUCCACUUCUACUAUUUUGUUACAACACUUUGAAACUAUAAUCUGCACACAGCAAGGAAUGUGAAUGCCUGUGCUACAUCAGUUGUGUAAAAUAGCAUUCAUUUCUUUUUCUAGAGAAGUACUGUUAGCAGUAUUCUAAGUAGUACAUGCUCUCCCAGUUUGAUUAAAGUGCUAUUCUCAAAUGUAAAGCCUCUUUCAGUGUUUCAGUAGGACAGACUGCUCCAGGUAUGAUUUGCAAGUCUUGAACAUGCAUCACCCUGUAUUUUCAAAGUAUUCCUGAGGGAUGGUAGGUCAUAAUAAACAACACUACUUGCUGACAAAUAAAUUCAAGUCAUACUAUAAGAGAAUAUUGUUGAAUACACAGAUCUGACCGACUUAAUAUGGUUUCUGUCUGUUGGAAAUCAUGGUUAAAAAGAUACGGUCAGUUAACAUCUGAAAGUUGAAUGUUUGACUUGUGUAAAAGGAAGUGAUUAAAUAAGUCCUGUAGAAAUAUAUUUAGUUCAUACUUCAUACCUGCAACAGACAAAUUCAAUUCUCCUUCCGCUUGCAAAUACGAAAAUAAUUGUUUCUGAACGUGAAGUAGGAUAGGGUAGCCACAGAGAAGGCUGAGGCUUCAUUCCACCUUUAACAGAAUGUGUCAUGAUUUGACUGAAGUUUACUGAAAGAAGUAGCAAGCAGAAAAGUCAGCUAGCACACAAAUAGACUUGUGCCCUUCAAACUAAUGAGCUUACCAGUGGCAUUCUCUGGAAUUGGUGCUCUUUUGGAAUUGCAAGGAACUUUUAUACCAGUUGUAUGUUGUUGUGCUUAAAGGUAAGUUAAAUCACGUUUCCAAACUUUCUGCUUUUCUAUUUUUUAGGGGCUGAAAAUCAUGAAGUUAAUUUUCUACCUCCAUACCUAUUGCAUGGGGCUGUAACUUUUCCUGUAUAUAACUAUUUUUAGGAAUUGAUCUUAGUUACGAGUAUGGCCCGUUAUCAUGAGAAUUAAGUUAACUAAGGGAAUUAUGUUAAGAAGUAAUUUACUCGAUGAUUUCACUUGAUUGUAAAACUGGUAGGGAGUGGUAGGAGGGAAAAGCAUGAAAAGUAUGUAAGUGUAUCAUUAAAACAGAUAUAUCAUUGUUUCAGCUGUUGUAUUAACAGAAGUGUAAGAGAAAGCUUCUCUUGGCCUGCCAUAAGGACAUUAUCCAGCAGGUGGAGUUUGACAGGAUGGUGAGCACAGGCCAAGUAGACAAGGGCGAACAAGUUACUGGCACACAGGAGCUGAAGAUUGCAUGAGCAUUGAACACCUAAUAGAUUGGCACAUAAGUGCUUGGGAAACCGAAGAGUUCCUAUUAAAAUAUAUCAGCUUUAAAACAGACAAGACCUGUAAAGAGAGACAUCUUGUACCUACUCCACAGCUGGACCAUGAGAAAACUUGAUGCCAUUGGAGACCAGUGUUCCUAUGGAACUGAUUUUCUGACCAGGCUGUGUCAUGGAAAGGAAAUGUAACUUGAGGAAGUACAGCUGUGGUGGAGGAACACGUGUACUGGGCCCUAAGACCUGACUCUUGUAACAAGAACUAGAACAACAAAGACAAGAGAAGGAAAUUAAGGAAAGAAGGAUGACUCACAACUUGUAUAUUGAAGAUCACAUUCAGAAAUGGUGACAAAGAAGCUAUGAACAAAUCAAGAUUGAAAAAAAAGAAAAGAAAAAACAGCAUUUAUGCCAGGAAAACUCAAUUGUUUGAGUGCUCAUGGAAAAGAAAUGCAAGAGCUGCCUUGGUAUCACUAAAGCAAGUUCACUGAAAAAUAGGACACUUUGAGAAGGACUCAGAAACAGCAUUUGGAAUGGAGAACUCAAACUGCAUUGUAGGCCGAACUAAUGCCUGAUAUUUAAGUAUAGGGGAGAUGUGGAGUUCUGAAGCUGAAAUUGAGAAGCCUGGAUCUGACAUGGAAUGUAAAGGAAUGACAAAACUGGAUGCCAAGAGGCGUUUUCAGCAGCAGUAUUGCCAGGACACUGAAGAAACCAGAGAGACAAGCAGGAAAAUGGGAAAUGUCAAAAGUCUCUACCGUGGUCUCAGGAUCAGAGAGAGGAAGGAUGUUUCAGAGAACAAUCUGAAAGGGAAAUGUGAGAUUUGGCAGCAGGUUAGCUAAGGAAGAAAUAAGAGUGAAAGAAGAGUCAGCUUGGGGAGUACUGUAGGCUGUCUCUACUGUAAGAUAAAUUCACAGCAAGCCCAGUAUGUCUAAGCAGUAUGAAUGAGCUUGUAUUUUAAUGCCCAAGAGGUGAGGGAAAAAAUAAAUUUCCUUUGGUUGAGAAGACAAAAAGUGGCUUCUUUCAUCCACCUGAGAAGGAGUAGGGCUGCAGGCACGGUAGACAAGAAGUCAGAUGCUGUGGCAUGCCAACUGCCAAGACACCUAGCAAGUCUGUCUUUCCUUGUCCUCCUGUGUUGUUUUUUUAUCACCCUGCUGGUCUGCAAGGUUAUAUGCUGCUUCUUUUUUUCCCCCAUCCUGAUUACUGCUUGCUUUGCUAAUAAGGGAAUAAUGAUGAGGAAGUAUGUCAUACAAAUUGUUAGACAAAGAUAAGGAUGGCUACAGGGAUAGCGCCAACUGAGAAGGCAGCAACAGUGAAAUUGACUGUUUUUAGUAAUCACAUGAGAAGAAAUACAUGCUUUUGUUUUCAGAGUAAACAUUUUACUGUCUAGAUGGAAAAGUCCAGCAGCCAAAGUUGUUAUUACAAGCUGAUUUAAAGACACAGGUGAGGAAGUACUUGAAGAUAUUUGUUUGCUUCGUGUUGGCUUUAUAAGACGUGGCUUACUGGUUUCUGAAGGCUUGAAAAUGUCUUGCAGUUUUUCAUGUUGACUGGUAAAUCCUUUUGUGCCUAGAGUGCCAUCCCCUCAUAGAGUCACUGUUCAUAAUACUGAACUAUGACUGUAUAUGAGAAGGAUGGUUGUACAAUCAGAGGAUCUGAAAAACUGCUAUGUCUGUUGUUCUUAAUACUCUUAAGGCUUUAUAAUGCACUGUAUUUUCUGAACUGAUGCAAGAACAAGCCUUUGAUGAUAGAAAAACUGCAGUUUAUAGUACAGAAGGAAGUGUGAAUUGAUUUUGCCAAUUUGGGAAAUGAAAUAGGCAGUACAGAAGUUCUUAGACCCACUUUCCCAGUUGAAAAGCACUUAGGUAAAACUGGACAAAAAGCCAGAGGAGAACUAAGUGAAAUUUCACACUCAGUGAGAUGCCUCACGUCUGAGCAACCAGCCAGACCUUAGUGUUUUAAUAUCCCUAAUCUAUUCUGUGCUUUAAUGAGAUCUUGAGCUAUUGGCUCUGAAGAUUAUUAGUGCCCUGGUGAAUAGCCAUUCAAUCUUCAGGCGUGUGAUGAGAAUUUGCUUCCUCUUUCAAUCCUUCAGCUUCUUGGCUAGAAUUUAUUAUUUCCCUAAAUAAAAGCAGCUGCAAAAUUUCAUUAGGUGUUAUAGUACCCCUUUCUGCUGUAUUUAACCUUGUCUCAUUAAAUAGAUUACAUCCUUGCCUCUUGUAAUUAAGUGCAAAUCAAACACAAUAUUUUAAUAUUAUAUUAAAAAUGUAAGAAAUAGGACGCCUUUUCAGCUGCCAUUCUGAAAUUCCUGAAGGCAGGAGUGCUACUUUGACAGUGACAAAUUCUUCCAGAAACAUCUGGUCUAUAAAGUACAUUUUCUCCUUAUAGAUCUGAUAGUAAAAUCAUAAAUACCAAAGACAAAGUGUUCUGUUCUGUCACACUUGAAUUCCAUUUAAAGAGAGUUCUUUAUCUAUUUCAUCUGUUCAGUAUCUGAGUGAUUUAACUACCUGCAAAGGCUUCUGUUGAGUAUGGGUUUUCUGGACACCAGCAAUCUUAAAUAUUAGAAGAGCCCAGGCUGUAGAGAAAAAAAAAAAACAUGAAUCUAAUAAUGGGUUGUGUAUUAAUUCAGCAAGCCUUUGGUUUUAUUUAAUAAGCAAAGAAAAAUUAUACUUCCACAAUCUACUGAGAGUCCAGUCAAACUAUGUGAUAAAUACUGACAAGAAAAAAUUAUCUUGCAUGUUCUAAAGUUGGGUCAAGAGAAGCACUAUGAACCCACACCUUCCUUAUGUGAACUUGCUAAGUCCCACGUCUAAAUUUCAUCCAUUUAACAUUUGUCACAUAACUGGGGUCCUUCAGUUAAGUUCUUUGCAGAAAUAAAAGAGGAAUUGUCUGUUUGAGGGCUUUGAUGUUGCAUCUCUCUUGAAAGCACCUUUCUCCCUGUGCUGACUGUAAGGUUGUGCAGGGCAGCAGUGCUGAUCUGAAGUUGGAGAUGUAAGUUCAGUGGUAUUCUCUGUGCUCAAUGUAACCAAAAUGCACUGUGUGUCUCCAUCCUAUACCUUUGGAGUUAAGCAUUAGGUAAAUAUAGAGCAUUUCCCCAAGUUUGUUUCAGGUAUGAACUAUGUGUAUGCUAUUAGCUAUCUCUGUAUCCAGGAGAGAUUUAUGUUGAUAAUAUUAUCAUUAACUCUAAUUUGAUUUCAAACUGAGUCACUGAUUACAUGGUUUCUAAGUCUCAGAUUCUGCUUCCUUGGGGAAGCAGAGGUGAGAAAGUUUGCAUGCUAUUGCAUAUAUAAUUAAAAACCACUUCCCAUUAUGUAUAUAUGCUGUCCCUGCCCUGCUAUACUGUCCUUUGCUCCUUUGCACCUUUUCCAUCCUAGCUGGUAGUGAUGCAGCAGCAGUCAGUCCGUUCUGUUACGUGUGCCUGAGUCGGGCUGCAGCCUUUUCUUAACAAGAGCCAAGGGCAGGUAUCAUGCUGCUCUGAUUUACCUGCAUGGCUGCGUUAGACCCAGUCAUUUCAAAGUUCUUAAUGAUGGCAAUUUAUCAAACAAGCCUUAAAAUAAUAGGCACUGUUUCCAAAAUGCCAUGGCAUUAGCAACCCACUCUUUAUGGAGUGGCAUAAUGUUUUCUUAAAAAAAUAUGUAAUGGACAAAUAAAUAACAACAACGACAAAAAACCUCAAAAAGAAAUAAGAAAAACACCUCCCCCACCCCAUGUUUGGAACAAGCUCGAUACGUGGUAUGUUUUCACAUUGUUUAGUACAGUCUGAAAAUUGCCUAAGUGCACAAAAUGGGUCACCCUGAUUAUGUUUUGAGGCUGUGAAUUCUUGCAAGAAGUUGUUAAUGCACGAGCAGUCCUGCUCAGCAGAGUACGUUACAGCAGGAGCACGGCUACAGCUUACUGUGGGAGGUGGGAAGUGGCUCAGUUUGAGAUCGGAUGAGAACAGCCAACUACUUCACCUGAAAAGAUCUCUCUCUAGAGGAAGGUCAGGCUAAUUCUGCUAGAAUCGUGCAAACCAGUAAUUUGAAGUGCUCCUUGCAGUGAAUCGAUGGAUGUGCAUUACUUUGUGAAAGUGUGCAUUAAUGUUUGCUACUGAGAACUGGGCUUAGUCCAGAAAACCGGUGGCAAUGGCUUGGAAAUGCACGGAAGCACAUAAUCUUGCAAAUCAAGCUGCUAAUGGAAACUGGGGUGCCAUCCAAGGUAGAUCCUCAGUCACUGGUGCUUUUGUCCUAAACUGGUUAUUUUGGAUUGCAAAUGUGAGGCAGUGAUCAGCUGGUUUUCUGUCAUCACCUGAAGGAGCCACUCUGUGGAUGCUGAAGUGCACUCAGAACACAGGAGAACAGUCACCACGAGUUACAGGGAGACCUCAGAUCAGUGUCCUGCUCAGGAAGAAAAGAAAGAGGUUCUGAUCAGAGGAAGUUGACAGCUUGUCCUUAAAAUUAGACAUGCCCUUGAGGAAACCACACAGGGAUCACAAUUUCCAUCAGCUCCAGAGACGUAGUAGUUGCUAGAGGGGUCAUUUACUUAAGUGGUUGGUACUUUCUGGAGUAUAUAUAAAGAAAAGAAAGUAAGCUAUUACAUUAAAUAGCUCUUAAGUAGGAUGGAACAAUGAGGUUGGUGAAAAGUAGUGUUUAUAAAUGUUACUGAAGAAAAAAUAAUCAGCAGAUGAAGAAGUACAGUUAUUAACACAAAUGAUUUCCAUGCAUGGAUUUGCAAAGCUCUUAGUCCAAACAAACGAUUUAGGUAAUGCCAGUAGAGAUGGAUGGCUGUUCCUACUGAGCACAGAAUUAAGAGAAAAAGAAAGCUGGUGACAUCAGUAUCAUCUGAUUGAAGGUGAACCUAAGCUAAAGAAAUCUGGAAGUGUGUUCAGCCCAGAGCACAACCUGGCAUUACACAAAGCUGUGUGCUGGAGAGGUUAGGGAAGCCGGACAGCUGAUAUCCAUCAAGGAGAGAGAGCUCUUUCUGUGGUGGGCUGGCUAAUUGUUUGUUUAGGCAUUCAGCUGGGUUGCAGAAGACUUGUGUUUGGUUUCAGGUUUGUUUAAAACACCCUAUGCUCCCUGGACCGUUAAUUAUUUGACCUCUGUUGUGGUUCCUAUGUAAGAUGUUGGUAUAAUAGUUCUUUUCAUUGAGGAUAUAUGCUGGUAACCAACCGAAAAGGUCACUGCCCAGGUGCUGUUACUCUGUGUUCCACCCUAUAAAAGACAGAGAAACCAGAAUGGGUGUUUUCUUUCUGUAAGCUUCACUAAUGAAAUCUAUUCUCACUGGAGCUCAUUGAUCAACGUUGUUUGAUGAAUGGUUAUUUGCUUGAUCUAAUGUUUACUGAAGUCAGCAGAAAUCUUUCACUGGACAUUUAAUUUUUAUUUUUUUUCCUGUCUUGCUGCUGUGCUUUAUGGCCAAUGAACCGGCGGAGGAAAAAUGCUCAGGAAUAAAAGCCCUUGGGAUGAGUAUGAAGGAACAGAGAUCUUCAGGGUUAUACAGUUUGUAGCUUUAAAGUAAUGAUAACUUCUUUCAGUUCCAGUUGGAAGACCCCAGAGGCCAAGAUUAACCUUAAUACAACACGUAGGUAAAGAGCAGGAGGUGGAGGAGCACGUGGUACAACAAAGGGUCAUGUCUGGAAGAUGGAGGGAAGGGGGAGCAAACCAAAUAAUUGGUUAUUAUUAGCAACUAAUUACUGUAGAUACUAUGAAUCUUGUGAGAAGCAAUACUGAAAUAGCCGCUGUGGUUUUUAGUUGGAUUAAGCUGUAUUUCAGUCUCAAACUUGUGAAGCUGCAGACACAUAACAUGUGCUGAAGCACAGGUUUAGCUUCUUUAAGAAAUAGAGGUUACAGGUGCAUGUGAUUGUACAUGUACAGCAAAUUCUUUUGUUUUCAAGAAAAUCUUUUAAUUUGAGCUUGAAACUGGAUCCUGCUGGCCUUAUUUUAGACUAGAAGUCUAAAGACUGGAUAAAGAUAGCCUUGCUUUAGUGCAGCAGCAGCAGAUGAAUCUCUGACUUCUCACAAGGUGGUGAUAGCAGUGUGGGUUCUUUGCAAUGCCUAUACUGGAAAAUACUUUCACCAAGGCAGAAUCAGACAGUAAUGAAUUAAUUCCAUUGUGUAGUUCAUCUACUUUGCUUGAUGUGGAUGGUUCUUUUCUGGCAUUGUAUGGCAAUCAUCGUUUUGGUGUGUUUAGACUCUCAUCACAUCAAGGUCCUGAUUUAGCAAAUACCUGGAACAGAAUCUCUAAGUACUGGGAUGUUCUAUGAAAUUGAACAUGUCAUUCAAGUGCUUUAAGGAGGCUUAGUGUAAUUUACUCAUUUUGUCUUUUUGCUGAUAGUUCCUGGAGGGAUUUUUAUGCCUUUAGGACAAAUUAUCUGAUGAACCUGCAAUAAAAAGCAGGACUUAGUCCUAGAGAACAAGAUUCCAAGUGGGUCUUUAAAUUCCACAGCCAAAGCAUCUUUAUGUGGUAAGGAGCAGCACACGAGGCCUUCAGAUGAGACAUUUUCCACAGGAUGAGAAUUCAGUGAAAAUGUAUUUUGAAAAUCCUGCCCUCACUUGAUAUUUAUUCUGCUAUCCAUUUGCAUGCAUUGUCUUUGAGACCAUAUAUUCUAUACCAUGUUAUUGGACAGUGAUAAAUGGCUCAACAAAGUUAAAAUUUAAUGAGAAAAGGGCAAUGAGAUGUUGUGCUUUUAUAAUGACUUAUCUGGCUUGUACAGAUAAGAUUGCGUAUGAAAUAUAAUAAUGUUAUCAAUGUAAUCUAUGUUACUUUGGACAUUACCAUACUUAUGAUUCAUUAACAGUAACUGUUUUGCUAUGUAGCUUUCUGUACUGGUUAUGUUGCUUGGCAACAUUAACUCCAAGAUAAUGAUGUCUUACUGCCUGUGAUUAAAUAAUGCUUUUUCCCCCAUAUUGUUUAUGAUAUAUCUAGCUUAUUUAUUUUCUUGUUUGCAAACUCUGUUCCUUAUUUUUCAUGCCAAAUAUAGCAAGGUAUGUAUACGUUCCUUGAAUAAUUCUGUGCUUAAAAUUCACCGCAUAUAUUCCCCUACUAAAGUGAAUGCAAAUAGCAAAAUAGUAUGAUGGAAAAAUAAAACCAGUGCACAAUAAUGCGAAGAACAUAAAAUGGAGAAGCAGUCUGUAGAACUACUGCUGAUACUGCUGAAUAAAUCCUUAAAGCCUUUUCAGCAGAAGUGCGUUGCUAAUAACCAUGGAUAAUGCCCUAGUUCUAUGAUUUAAUUCUCCUCUUAAAUAAAUAAAUAGGAAGCUAUGGGGCUUGCCCAUAUGCAGUGCUAAACUUUGGAACUUGACCAAGAAAAGUGAAAUACUAUACGCUGAAGGGUAGUAAAUGUCUUCUGAUGCUAUUAGUAGAUGGAUCAAUGUAGUUUAAUAGUAUUUACAGUAGUACAUUGGACCUCCAUGUUAACAGUAUUCUGUACUAAUACCUGAAGCAUAGCACACAUUAAAAUUGAUAUCGGGUGGCUAUUGAACAUAUUUUAAAUGAUUCCGUUAAUUCCUGCAGAGCUUAUCACCAUGGUGACAGCGACAGAAAUUGAACAAACAGGAAAAAAAUUCAGAAUUGAUCCAUCCUAAAUGAGAUUCCAAUGGGAUUUAGAGUCAUGCUUAAAAACUGGGAGCCAAAUAUAAGAGUGAGCGCUCUUCAGCUGAUAGUAUACCCCAUAUCUCCUCCAAGGAGGGCUUCUGUCUGCAGGUUUGGUCCCUGCAUCAUACAUUGCUUUCCAGAUGGCACCACCUAGGAAGUGAUGGUUUUGGAACAGAGGCCUAGAUAGUAAGCUGUGUGCUUCCAAUGUACUGGCAUUAAAUCAAUAAUUCUUUGUGGUUUUGUCAUCUGUAACUGAAGUGUUAAUACUGGUAUGGAUGCAGUAUGAGUGGAAAUGUGCAUGUGACAGCACCAGAAAUUACAGCCAAGUAAAUGUUAAAAGACUGGGACUUGUACCAAACACUCAGCGUGCUGCUCCCAAGGCUCUUUACUCAGGUGUAACGAUGUUGUUAAAUCCACAUGAGAACAUCAGCCCUCUACAAGACUCCACAGCACAGAGGAAGACCUAGGAGGGUGGCAGAAAGUUGCAGCAUGUCAUGCAUACCAAUCCUUUAAGGUUUUCCAACAGGACAGUGUGCCCUUCAAACCAACAAGGAAAAAUGGAGGACGCACAGAAAGCUUGGCUACAACCUACGGAGCUACUGGAGUCAGAAACAAAGCACUGACUGCCAAAACAGCUCUUCAGCCUCUCCAGGUCUUGUUGAAUGGCAGCACAGCCAUCUGGUAUGUCAGUCACCUGGCUUCGUAUCAUCAGCAAACUUGCUGAGGGUGGACUCUAUCCUUCAUCCAGAUUGUUGAUGAAGAUGUUCAAGAAGAUCAGAUCCAGCGCUGACCCCUGGAGAAUGUCACUAGUUACAGGUCUCCAACAAGGCUCUGAGCCUCUGAUCACAACCCUCUGAGUUCUGCCUGUUCUCAAUCCACACUUCCUAAGCUUACCUAUGAGGAUGUUAUGGGAGACAAUGUCAAAAGCCUUGCUGAAACCAAGGACGGAUAUUGCAGUCUCAUUAUAAGCAGGCUUCUGCUUCUCCUUAAGAGAAAUAAAGACCUAAUAACACUGUUUCUCAAAGACUAAAACUAGGGGUCCCCUGUUCUUUUCAGCAACAGCCCCACAUUUUCCCCAGAACUCUUUUUGCUGCUGAUAGACCUGUUGAAGCUCAUUGUCUUGUACUUCACAUCCACGGAUUCAACUCCAGAUGGGCCUCCGUUUAAAUGUAACAGGAAUGCGUAAUACUUUUGGAGGAGACAAAAUAUCAUCAUCACUCAGCUGGGGCUUCUGUGACAAGACCCGGAACCAAAGAGUUUGUCUCAAAAAGUAAGUAAAUCUGAUAGACCUUUUCCAAACUCAACAUCUGUCAGACUUAAUGCAAAUACAUUUAGUGUGGGGGGUACGGAGAGGAUUCUUUGCUUGAUAAUGUGUCUUGAAAUGCUGUCUCUCUACCUGAGUUCUCCAAGUGGAGCAGUCCGUCUGUGUCCUGAGGAAGCUGAGCCACCAUGGAGGUUCAUGACCCCAUUUGCAUGCAGCAAACCAGGCUUCCAGCCCAGCAGACUGUGGUUAAUGUUUGCAGAUCUAGAGGAUUAUGCUGUUGACUGCUCGGUUAAACACGUGAUGUAAAAUAUCCUCACUUCCCAGCAAGAGUUUGUUUUGGACCAGCAUACGUUUGGCAAUUAUUAAUUUUACCAAAUGCUGUAUCAAAAUGGCAUAUUAACGGUGAAGGUUACUGUUGAUAUCAGCUGUUUUCUUCUCCUUAAAACUACACCUACUCUCAGUACUGUCUUGAGUCCUUGACCUAAAGCUGGAGAGGUCUUAUUUGAGUCACCACGUGGUUGUGAAUUAAAAUUUCUUAGGCAGGGAAUUUUUGUGGACAUAAUAACUAAGUCUAGUCUACUUCCAUCAAGUUAUAUCAGUCCUUGCAAGUGUGAUAGCUGUGGCCUGAAAGCUGUUUUCUUAGGGAUGGUAGUUCCAUUUUAUGCUAAUGUUUUGGUGACAUCCUUCAUUACGUAUCCUUUAACACUCUUACAUUCUUGAUCAAAGCACACGAAAGCCCACAGAAAUUCUCUCAAACCUUUAUUUCAUUUAGUGCAAGUGCCAUGGGCAUCACAAUCACUUAAACAUUCUUUCUAAAUGUCUGUCAGAUUGCAUUUCGUAUUGGUCUGACCGAACUUCCCCACAUCUGAAAGGUCAUGUCAGGCUUCAUUCACUGCAAGUCAGCAUAGCCUCUGCUGACAGCCUGCAGAUAUCUGCAGAUCUCGUGAAGGUAGCUACAUGCCUUGGUUUGUUGUUGCUGGAAUUUGACCGAUAAGAUUAAACCUUGCCUCCGUUUUCAGCCUGCAGAGGCAGAUUCUUAAGGCAAUCAACUCAAACAUUGUUCUUCUCUAAUGCUGUCUUUCUUCUUCCUUAUGUUUCAGCGUAGUACUGAAAUAUUUGUGAUUUCUGAAAGUCUUGCUGGUUUUUCCUUAUUUAAAAACAAUACUGUCUCUGGCUGCUGAUAUAACUCUCGUUAACGCCCCUUGUUAUCGCUUCCCAUUUGGAACUAUUCUUGAUCUGCUUUUCCUUUUGGAAGCGGUCUCUUUAUAAAAGCCUUUUACACAAAGGGGGAAUCUUGUAAUGUUUUUGAAAAAAUCUGAUUUCAUUUCUCAUUAUCACUUCAUCUGAACCUGGAGCUCAUCUUCUUGGAUUCAGGUAGUUCCUUAUCCCAUCUUAGUUUUCCUUUUCAAGAUAUUACUUUUACAAUUGGAAUUUGACAUCCCUUUUGAAACAGCACUUAGAACUGUAGAUGGUAUUCAACCAUCAUGAAAGGCAGCUGGCUCUUUACGUGCAGAGAUUACCCCUUGGGAAUAAAGACUUCUCUCCAGUCCUGCUCAGAUGCAGGAAUAUACUGGGAAAAUGUAACCGGACUCUUGCAUCAGACCAGUUUUGACAGUUUUAUGCAGUUCACAUAUAUUUGGCUACUGUACAAGAAAAAGAAACUGUAUGCUUUAGGUAAUGUAAACUUUACUAUCAUAAAAAUAUCACUGCUGAAUCGCUGCAGUAUUUCAUUUGAACAGCACGAUGUGAAACUGCAUGUAGAAGGUGAUGGGCAAUUGAACAUAGAAAGAAAGGUAGACAGAUCUUGUUUGAGUCUGGAUGAUACGUAUAUAAAAGUUUGCUGGCAGUUACAUCCAUAAACAAACACUUUGGCAAGAGCUGCUGUUAUUGGUUCAAAGGAAAGAAAAGAAUUCUUAGUCUCUACUCUCACUACAACUCCCUGAAAGGAGGCUGUGUGAGGUGGGGUUGGCCUCUGCUCCCAGGGAACAGCCACAGGACGAGAGGGGAUGGCCUGACGUUGUGCCAGGGGAGGUUCAGGUUGGCUGUUAGGAACAAUUCCUUCUCCCAAAGAGCGGUGAGGCAGCGGCACAGCUGCCCAGGGAGUGGUGGGGUCACCGUCCCUGGAGGUGUUCAGGAGCCAUACAGAUGUGACACUGAGGGAUGUGGUCAGUGGGCACAGUGGGGUGGGCUGGAGUUGGACUUGAUGAUCUUUGAGGUCUUUUCCAACCUUCGUGAUUCUAUAAUCAAGUAAAGUCAGUUGUACCAACAAAAAUACUUUGAUAUCAGCAUUAUUGUGCUUAUAUUGGAGCAGCAGUGAAGAAUUCGUAUAAAAAUACCCUGAGAAUAAUAUUCACUAGUGUUUCUAAAUCAGAACUUUUUUUUAGUGUGGAUUUAAACUGAUUUUUCUCAAGAUAACUACUGCUAAGUUUGCUGUUUUCUGGUUUUUGUUUCUGUCCAUGAUUUGUCUUCUGCUGGCCUUGAAAUCUAGUUUUUGAAACUAUUUCUAUCAAAUUAUCUUAUCUUGGUGUUAUAACAUUAUUAUGAUUUGUUGUUUUCAGCUUGGCAGUCCUGCUUAAGAGCAUACAUCAUUUGCAUUCAGUUAAGCUAUUAUUUGCACCAAGUUCAAGUGCAGCAGCUUUUCUGUUUUCCCUGGAACACUGUUCACGUUUUAAACACGUAACCAUUCUAGAUCACCUAUUCCAUAGCUUGUGUAACUCUACAAAAAUCACAUUUGCUUUAGGCAGUAAACCAGCCUAAAGCUGAAAUACUGACUGUGACCCUUUGGAAAGGUGUAAGGAGUUUAUCAGAAGAAGCGUUGUGUCCUUUUGGCAAUGUCACAAUUAAUUAUCCUCCUCCCAUUGUAUAUCUAGCAUGUAUAUCACUAUCAGUUGGCCAGGGCAAGCAGAAAUAUGUUGUUAUUCUGUAUUUCACAUAUAAACUAUUUUAUAUUUAGGUAGGUGAUGUUAUUAAAGAGUGGGUGGAAUUGUGAAGACUUACCCCAGAACUCUACUAAGAUCAUAUGUUUCUUAGCCCACCAUUAAUCUAACAUCUUUACACCUUAACUGUUACGUUUCAUACCUUCUGAUGCUGUCUUAGGAUGUGUGUUUAAUAAUAACAAUAAUAAAAAAACAAACAGAAGAAAACACAAUAUAUCUACAGUAAAUCAUAAUACACCUACAGUAAAUUACAGCUGAUCUUGUGAUUGUUUAAUGUGAACUUUACCUGCUGCAUCUAGAUAUAUGGCUUAGUGUUGGGGGAGUGAUAUAGAGUCGUUCUGUCAGUUCUACUUAAACUAACCUCAUUACUCCUGAUUUUUCCCUGAGGCUAUUUCUACCCCAUUUUGUACAACUAGAGCAACGCGAAGGGACCGAAGUUUUGCCUAGAGUUGAGUAUAAGGCAUGGACUACUAAUUUUCCUCUUCUUUUGGUGUCUAAAUAGCUGGCUUUCCUUGUUUGAAGGUACAUUUUGUUAUUAAAGCCUGAGAAGGUAUGCUCUAGGUGUUUCUUUCAUGUUUUUAAAUCUGUUGUGAUUGAGCAAUAUUUUCCUUGUAAUGUUGUUAUUUAAUUUUUAGAUGGAAAUUAAAUACAGGAAAUGAUCAGCAAACAAAAUGAGCGUCAAAAGCAGAAGUCGCUAUGAAAACUGUUUUGCCUUUACUGAAGCAGCCCAUAACCCUAGUGUUAGAAUACCUAUUUCAUACACGGAAAGCUGUCACUGUUUCAUGAGCUAUAGAAUGCCUCAUGAUUAACAUAGUAUUCCUGUUUACCACGCUGUUUAUUAUCCAGAAAAAAACUGUUCUUAAAUGCCAUUUAACUGACUUCCAAAGAACUCAGUUAUUUAAUACACACUUGAUUUCAGAUUGAUGUUAAACUGAUCAUAAUAUCUUGUUUAUUUCCCUACAUGUAAAGCAGCAGCAAAACAUGUUCUCUCUAAAAUCCACGCCAAUCUCUAGCAGCAUGUUAGCAAUGAAAAGCUUAUGGAGAGCAGUCUACAGUAAUACCAUUCACAGAUAAGAACCUUCUUAGACAUGGCUUCCUAUUUCAAAUAACAUUGAAAUGCAGCCGGUUUUAAGUGUAAAAUGAGGUAAUAUUUCUAAAGCUCACUGCUGGAAUAAUUACAUGUGGAAGCAGAUAUUUGAUGAGCGCUCUUUACAUACACCACAGCUAUAGCUUAACUCUUGAAACUGAACACAUUUAGUAAGUAGUAUCUUCACAAAUCACAUCUUUGGUAUAUUGAUUUGGAUACUAAAAAUGAACAGAUCUGAAACGAAUGACCACUUGUGUUCCCGCAUUCUGGCACAAUUCUAGCUGCAUUUGAUGCAUUUCCAUUUCCACUCGGUUACUAGUUUAGGAACCUGGGCAGAUUUAUCACUCUUGGAAGUACAUUUCAGCUUCUUGCCUCAUCAGCAGCAAGAUAUGAGACACUGACAUAUGCUAUUUUAAAUAACAGCUGCUCAUUGCUGGUCAAAUUUUUCCCAAUAAUGACAAUAUAUUUUACUGAAAUAACGAUGCUACUGUUAUAAUGUUAGAAAUUUUAUUCAGAAGUGCAGUUAUCAACCAGUGUGUGAAUGAAGAAGCUGCUUUUAAGGCUCGGGACUCAGUUAUGAGAUCUCCUUAGUUCUACCUGUUUCAGAUGCUCUGCAUUCACUGGUUACCUAUGUGUGGCUGCAUGGCUCCCAGGCGGAUGGACAGAAGAUGAGCGAUGUUUGUGGCACAGCUAACUGCUGGUAAGUCCAUGGCCAUGGGAGGGGCCAGGUUUCUGUGGGGCAGUGCCUAUGGAGCUGGGGACAAAUGCCAGCCAGGCAUCCUAUGGGCGUCCCACUCCACCUCGAGCAUAUGAUGCUGUGGCUAGAGUUUGUUACUGUCAGGUGCAUACUUGACGUUUGCUUUUUCUGGUGACAAGUUGCUUGAGAAAGCGUGGCUCUUGACAUCUGCAGUGAUCGAAGUUGGGAAGCCAAACUGGGAACAUGGGUUGCUGCACUCAAAGUGUAUGGGCCUAUUUCUAUGGACUUUUUUCCACUUGGAAGUAUCUCUGAGGAAGUUGCACCCUGGAGGUGUUUCAGUUCCCUCCCACCACUCUGGCAAGCUCUGCAAGCGUUCGUACAGGCAAAUACAAACCUCACUGCUUGCCAAAGGAUGCCCACCUCUGGGAAACCCAUGAUUCAUUCACUGCCUGACCCUUACUUUGUGCUCCACUACACCAACGUGAGUGAGGCCUGUUCCUCCCCACCCAGCUUGGCUCAUCUCAUUAACAUCAACUCAGGGGACAAUUAAACCGUGUUGAGGUCCUGCUGGCCUCCACAGGCAUUGCUUUGGGUAGGUUGUGAUACCACCACAGCCUGCCUUCAGCCUCCUGACAGCCUACUGAAGCAGGCCCUUACUGCCCAUCUCCAAAGGUCCCUCCAUGCAGUGACUGCAUGAAGCACUGCCCUCCAAGAACUGAGUGGAUGCAGUCAGACUGUUAGUAAACAUCAACAGCAACAAAGUGUUUAAGAUAACUUUACAAAUUUAUCAGCAGAGAGAUCAUAUCCACGUUGAUAACAACAAUGUGACACAGUUUGUGAUUGAGAUGGAGGGACUAAACCUCUGUCCUGACAAAUUACACCGUGAGAUGCAUUACCUUGUUUUGAAGCAUUAUUUCUCUGUGGUUUCCAAAAAAACCACGUUUGCUAUUUCUAAAAAUAAACAAGCUACCAGUAAGGGUACAUUUUGUUCUAAAACUAUUUUGUUUCUACUCAAACAACAGAAUGUAUUUCGGAGACAAAUUUUCUUAAUUUGCUAACUAAUAACGUAAUUCUUUUUCUUUAGAGAUAAUUCUAACACCUUAAUAACCCUGUAGGGUACUUAUUAAAGUAUAAGAGAUUAAAUUCAAAUGAGCACAGUACAGACCUCUUCUUAAAAUCACCUCCAGGAAGGCAUCACUGUAGGAGAAAAAGACUAAAUUCAUUUUCCAGCCCAUAACAAAAGGUAGAAUUUAGUGCAUAGCUGUAAGCACCUCCAUGAAUAACCAUAAAUUAAGUAGUGUUUCUCCAGCCAGCCAUCAGUGCCCAAUACUGUUACACAUAAGUUGGUGGAAAGUCUGCCUUUUCAACAGGUGGGUGACUGGGAGUCUUGGCCAUAUACCAGCUCCAGUACUUCUUGCACACGAGCGCUGUGGACUUAGGAUACAGGAUAUUAGGUAGGACCUUGGUCAAGAUGGUGUAGGUGAUCCAUGGAACAGGAUAAACAGAGUGAAGACCUAUCACGUUAGUGUACAGCUAGGCACUGGAACAGGUUGCCCAGAGAUGUGGUUGCUGCCCCAUCCCUGGAGAACUCUGGGAAUUGUGAAAUAAAUAUUCCACUUUCUGUAUCAUACACUAUGGUCUACAUGACAUAGUAAUAUACUUAGUACCACAAAGCCAUGAAAUACAAUUGAUGAGAAAGACAUUUUAAUUCGCAGCAUUCAGGCUGGGUAAUCCCACAAAACUUGUACUCCCAAUUUACAAACUCAUUUUUGCAAGUGACGUAGUGAUUAAAUGGAAACAGCACACAUGAAUUGUUGUGAUAUCCUGUUGAUCAAAGGCAAAGCUGUUAUUUAUAUUGUUUUUCUUUUUCUCAAGGGAAAUAAGUAAUUAAAAAGAAAAGAAAGGGAAGGGAAAGAUCCAUAGCUAACAGUACAGUUUGUUAUAUAAUAUCGUACUUCUCAACUCUCAACAACUUAGUUGAGAGUGAAUUGACAAAGCACCCAACUUGGAAAAGCCUGCACUUCUGUAAUGGCAGUGUGCCUCGGCAAGAAGUUUGUCUCCAAUCUACAAAAGGUGUACAGAACUGAUGAAUUUAAAACAACAGAGUAAAACAAACAAACAAACAGAGGAUACCAUUGAAUAGGUGGCACUGUUUGGGGGGAGAACAAAGAAAGAAGAGAGUUGGAAAAGCAAGCAGAUUAAAAAAUAAUUUAGUUAUUUCCUGAUUCAGAUUACUUUAUAUUAGCUUUGCUCUAUAUAUAAUUUUCAGAUUUUGACCUGCCUUUCCAAUUCUUAUAUCUUUUAUCUACUCUCUGUGCUCAUUCUUUCAACUCUCAACCAUAUCUUAGUUUUGUUUUGUUUUGUUUUUGCUGUCUGGCUACAAAGAUGCUGUAAAAGAAACAACAGAUAAAAUAAAAGACUAAUGAAAGUGGACGUCCCCUCUGAUGAGAUCCAGAAUUCCUCAGUGGAGAAUGUAUCACCUUCUUUUAUUUUUGACACUUGAAAGCUGUCUUUAAUAAUAUCAUUUCAGCCUAAUUUUAUACAGCAACCAUGUUAGGUGUCUUUUGAAAGUACUUUCAUCUUUUAUUGUUUCUAGCAACCAGUUAAUCUGCAGCCCAACUAGUCCCAGUUGCUCAGCUGGAUACUGGAGAUUUGGCAUAGCCUGCUGUCGUGAGUCACCCACUUAUUUCCCCUUGCAGUCUUCAGAUGCAGAUUGAGCAUAGAUGUCGAUGUGUGCAGUAUCAAUGGAAGACUCAACACAACAAAAUGCACCUUUCUACCAAUUCUUACGGUUACCCCACGUGAUCCUUUCUUUUACAGCUAGUACUGCAGAUGAAUACUGUGCUUUCCUCUGCUAGAUCUGAUUACAUGAUUUAUUUUCUGUCCUUCCAAAGCCAUUGGAUGAUGCAGCUGUCUUGACUGUAAGAUGGUGGUGCACCUCCAGCAGUGGUCAAGGUCGCAAUGGUCACAAUGUCAGGAGCGCCUAUUGAAGAUAACCACAUUACUUUCAUGUACUUUUCCUUGGAGCUCACGGUUGAGCUCUGCUUUUUCUUUUUCUGUAUUGAGGUCACUUUGACUGUUGCAAUCUAUUUAUGCUUUCAAUUUCCAUUUUUUACUGAGUGCAUUGUAGGCUGAUCAGGAAUUCCACAUUUUCAAGGGCUGUACUGAAAAGUGAUUUCCUGCCUAAAAGUUUUUGUUGCAUAUUUUCUGAAACACAUCUUAUUUCAUUCUGAUGCAGAAUUAUUCAGACUAAGUAGUUAAGACCAAGUAGUUCUGUUUCUGGCAGCCACAGGUAGAGGCCUGAAUAUGCUCGUGCAAGCACCUCCACCACAAAGUUCAUGUCAGAAACUCCAAAACGCUCCUCCUCCAUUGUCUUUGCAUACGUUAAUUUUUAUCAUAGGGUAUGAUUUUUGUAAACAUUAAUAUGAGGGCUGCUCUGAAAGUAAUGCCUCCUAUUUUAUGAUGCUGGCCCACAACAUCGGAGGCGGAUAUUGGUGGGAUGGCAGUAGUGGUUGAACCUUCCCACCAAUACCCCUUUCCAUUUCGUUGUUGUGUGACAGAUGGCAGCAGAGGGGCAGUCUGACUGAUAUUGAAGUGCAUAUGGAGCAAAGGUGUGACGCUGAAGUCAUCCAUGUGGAAAGAAUGACACUUGCUGAAUGUUGAUGGAGUCCAAACAGUGGAUGUGAGCACAGUGAGGGGUGGGUGGUGUGUUUCAGCAGUAGCAACAGCAACAGCAGGUCACCUUUGCUGGUGCAGAGUUUUCCUCUGCAAAAUGUAUUAAAAUCAGAAAGCUGUGAGAAACAUGAAUAUUUUGCCUUUCAUCUUUCUCUCCAAUCACCCCGCAGGACAAAGGGAGCCUGCAGUUGCUUGCCUCCUUGUUAGCUCAUUUGCUCCUGGCAACAAAGCAGGGAAAUUACAGGCAGCAAUUUAUCAAAUGCUUGUCAUCAGUUCACUCCCUCUCUACCUAUCAUGAGGUGUAAUUUUAUUAACAGAAACUUGACCCAGGUACGCUCGUAGCUUGAAAGCUCAAAAGGUGGGGUGCAACCCUCAAAUAAAAGAUGAGUGAUGUGCAUUUUAUGUUUUGAAUGCAUGGUAGCAUAACUGAAAGUGAACGUGCUUAUAAAAAGGCCACAUUUUGUCCACAAUACUGUGGAAACUGUGAGAAGAACUCAACAGGGUUUUGCUAUGUGAUGUGAAUGGACAGGGGGAAAGACUUCAUGGUUAAUGUACAUGGGCUGUAUGUCUGCAUUAGAAUUUCCUGCUGUGUAACUUGUGUUGGCACAGGAUUUAAUAAAAAUCAACAAGACUCAGCUAACAAGGCUUACCACACAAACAAGCUCUGAGGAGUGAAAAUAACAGCUACUGAGAUACAUUUUUUAAAAUUAAAUAUGAAAUAUUCAUAAGCGCAUUUUAUAUGUUUAUACUACUCUAUUAUGCUAUUGGCAUAGUAAAUUACUUUUGUUUACUGGCUACUCAAAUCAUACAUUUCCAGAUGCAUAAAGUUGUGUUUCGUUCUUUCAAAUGGUUAAAACUGGAGGAAAUAAUCUCAAUUUAAACCCACAUUUUCAAUAAUGUUAUCAACUAACCGAAAUAGUAUAACGAGGUUCAGAAUCUAAUCCACAUAGCCCACAUUACACAGCCUUUGAAAUCAGCAUACUGACUUCACAAGUCCUGUGUAGUUGACAGGCAGAAUUUAAACUGUUUUAUGGGGCAGCAGCUCCGGACUGCUUAUUUUGGUCAGGAUGGUUGAUGGUGAUUUUAAUGCUGUGUACAGGUGGCGAAUGUUCCAGCAGCUUGCACUGAAAUUCUAGCUCUUCUUUGGUACAUUUAUUCACUGACAUAGUGUAUUAUUCAUUCUCUUAUUAAUUUACAUUUUCUAUUAUGUCUCACAGGAGCUCUCUAACCAGUCACUGCUUUAUCCAUACGUCAAGCAAGCAUUCUCUUUACAGUCACAGUAGAUAUCUGUCUUCUGUCCAGGACGUACAUCUUGUAAACACUACUUUGUGGGCAUUUCCCUGUUUUCCUGUUUUCUCCCAUAGAAUGUCACCAGUGCUUUCCCUAGGCCACGGAUGGAUACAACACACUACAUUUUGCAGUUUUGUGCUCAGUGUUUCAGUGAAACAUACUGAAGCCUUCUGAGUAUUGCUUAAGCGGGCAGAGUAUACAGCUCACUAAUUUUCUCCAGAAAAUAAUCCAUUUUUUAGCCCCACUGGUUUUCAUCCAAGCACUGAAAUGCUGCUUUUUAGCUAAAUUUUCCCAGCACAUUUGGUACUGCUGAUGACUUCUCUCAAAGACUCCUCUUUGGCUCCCAUGCUUCCCAUUCCGGUGAUUGUGCUCUCAUGUUCCUGGUCAUCGUGAUGUUGGAUUUUGUGUGGACUUCCUUCAUCCUCCUUUAGCAUCUCCUGUGAUUUCUGCCCUUGUGAGGCCUCACCUGCAGUACUGCAUCCAGGCCUGGGCCCCCAGCACAAGAAGGAUGAAGAGGUGUUGGAAUGGGCCCAGAGACGGGCACAAAGAUGCUCAGAGGGCUGGAGCACCUCUUAUGAAGAAAGGUGGAGGGAGGUGGGCUUGUUCAGUCUGGAGAAGAGAAGGCUCUGGGGAGACCUCAUUGCGGCCUUCCAGUACUUGAGGAGAGCUUAUAAGCGGGAGAGGGAGUGACUUUUUACAUGGUCUGAUAGUGAUAGGUCAAGGGGGAAUGGCUUUAAAUUAAAAGGAGAAAUUUAGGUUAGAUGCUGGGAGGUAAUUCUUCACUCAGAGGACAGUGAGGCCCUGGCACUGCUGCCCAGAGAGCUGUGGGUGUCCCAUCCCUGGAGGUGCCCAAGGCCGGGUUGGAUGGGCCCUGGGCAGCCUGAGCUGGUGGGCAGCCAGCCCACAGCAGGUGUUGGAGCUGGGGGGGCUUUGAGGUCCCUUCUAACCCAAGCCAUUCUAUGAUCUUAUGAUUUCUGUUCAUUCUCGCUCUAUGUCUUUUCUGUAAAUCGAGUGCUGUCCUUGCACAGUUUUAUCCACUGACAUGGACAGUUAAGUGUCUGCCCAGAGCCAGAAGUUAAUUGCUGUAUUGUAUGUUAUAUAAUUAGCACCUUGUCUAAGCAUCACUGCACUUUUAGGAUGCUACCUGUUAGAUGUUCCUUGCUUGGAAACAAUGGUCAAACUCGACACUUCAGGCUAAAACUCUGAUCAGCAAUGUUAUGAGAAAGAAAAUGAACUGUAUUGAUAUAUCUCUAAUACUGUGCCUCUGUGCCAGCUUCACUGUUAGAGAAAGAAAAAGACAUAGCCUGUGUUUUGUUCCCUACUUUCCUUAGGUUUCAUUGCAGUGUGCUAGACUGCUGCCAGCAUCCAGGGAGCAGGAUUAUUAUUCUUGUCAUGUGGAUAUUUUCUUCCCUCUGCUGACUGAGAGCUACAAACUUGUCAGACAGAAAGCCUGAUAUAUUUGUGCCUUUCUCUUUUUAAAAUUCACCCAUAGCAAAUGUUACAUGUGCUCCACCAGGGAAAAAUAUCUUUAUAAAGAAAUAAGGUGUGUUCCCCAAACAGCAUUUCUAACAGACCAUUUCCCAUAUAUUUUUCUAG
rnacentral:lncRNA from 1 species